rnacentral:rRNA from 1 species
GAGGAAUAUUGGACAAUGGAUGGAAAUCUGAUCCAGCCAUGCCGCGUGCAGGAAGACGGCCCUAUGGGUUGUAAACUGCUUUUGUAUGGGAGCAAUAAGGGUUACGUGUAGCCCGAUGAGAGUACCAUACGAAUAAGGACCGGCUAACUCCGUGCCAGCAGCCGCGGUAAUACGGAGGGUCCGAGCGUUAUCCGGAUUUAUUGGGUUUAAAGGGAGCGUAGGCGGUUUUAUAAGUCAGCGGUGAAAUUUUCCGGCUCAACCGGGAGACUGCCGUUGAUACUGUAGGGCUAGGAUAUGGUUGCUGUGGGUGGAAUGUGUGGUGUAGCGGUGAAAUGCUUAGAGAUCACACAGAAUAUCGAUUGCGAAGGCAGCUCACAAAGCCAUUAUUGACGCUGAGGCACGAAAGUGUGGGGAUCAAAC